GGAUAACCUACCCUUAGGACUGGGAUAACCCUGGGAAACUGGGGCUAAUACCGGAUAGGCAAUUUUUCCUGUAAUGGUUCUUUGUUUAAAUGUUUUUUCGCCUAAGGAUGGGUCUGCGGCCGAUUAGGUAGUUGGUUAGGUAAUGGCUUACCAAGCCGUUGAUCGGUACGGGUUGUGAGAGCAAGAGCCCGGAGAUGGAACCUGAGACAAGGUUCCAGGCCCUACGGGGCGCAGCAGGCGCGAAACCUCCACAAUGUGAGAAAUCGCGAUGGGGGGAUCCCAAGUGCCAUUCUUAACGGGAUGGCUUUUCAUUAGUGUAAAAAGCUUUUGGAAUAAGAGCUGGGCAAGACCGGUGCCAGCCGCCGCGGUAACACCGGCAGCUCUAGUGGUAGCAACUUUUAUUGGGCCUAAAGCGUCCGUAGCCGGUUUAAUAAGUCUCUGGUGAAAUCCUGUAGCUUAACUGUGGGAAUUGCUGGAGAUACUAUUAGACUUGAGACCGGGAGAGGUUAGAGGUACUCCCAGGGUAGAGGUGAAAUUCUGUAAUCCUGGGAGGACCGCCUGUUGCGAAGGCGUCUAACUGGAACGGUUCUGACGGUGAGGGACGAAAGUUAGGGGCGCGAACCGGAUUAGAUACCCGGGUAGUCCUAACUGUAAACGAUGCGGACUUGGUGUUGGGGUGGCUUUGAGCUGUUCCAGUGCCGAAAGGGAAGCUGUUAAGUCCGCCGCCUGGGAAG
rnacentral:rRNA from 1 species